UGCAAAAACAUGCAAGUCGAGCGGACCGACGGGAGCUUGCUCCCUUAGGUCAGCGGCGGACGGGUGAGUAACACGUGGGUAACCUGCCUGUAAGACUGGGAUAACUCCGGGAAACCGGGGCUAAUACCGGAUGCUUGAUUGAACCGCAUGGUUCAAUCAUAAAAGGUGGCUUUUAGCUACCACUUACAGAUGGACCCGCGGCGCAAUAGCUAGUUGGUGAGGUAACGGCUCACCAAGGCGACGAUGCGUAGCCGACCUGAGAGGGUGAUCGGCCACACUGGGACUGASACRCGGCCCAGAYUCCUACGGGAGGCAGCAGUAGGGAAUCUUCCGCAAUGGACGAAAGUCUGACGGAGCAACGCCGCGUGAGUGAUGAAGGUUUUCGGAUCGUAAAACUCUGUUGUUAGGGAAGAACAAGUACCGUUCGAAUAGGGCGGCACCUUGACGGUACCUAACCAGAAAGCCACGGCUAACUACGUGCCAGCAGCCGCGGUAAUACGUAGGUGGCAAGCGUUGUCCGGAAUUAUUGGGCGUAAAGCGCGCGCAGGCGGUUUCUUAAGUCUGAUGUGAAAGCCCCCGGCUCAACCGGGGAGGGUCAUUGGAAACUGGGGAACUUGAGUGCAGAAGARGARAGUGGAAUUCCACGUGUAGCGGUGAAAUGCGUARAGAUGUGGAGGAACACCAGUGGCGAARGCGACUCUCUGGUCUGUAACUGACGCUGARGCGCGAAAGCGUGGGGAGCGAACAGGAUUAGAUACCCUGGUAGUCCACGCCGUAAACGAUGAGUGCUAAGUGUUAGAGGGUUUCCGCCCUUUAGUGCUGCAGCAAACGCAUUAAGCACUCCGCCUGGGGAGUACGGUCGCAAGACUGAAACUCAAAGGAAUUGACGGGGGCCCGCACAAGCGGUGGAGCAUGUGGUUUAAUUCGAAGCAACGCGAAGAACCUUACCAGGUCUUGACAUCCUCUGACAACCCUAGARAUAGGGCUUCCCCUUCGGGGGCAGARUGACAGGUGGUGCAUGGUUGUCGUCAGCUCGUGUCGUGAGAWGUUGGGUUAAGUCCCGCAACGAGCGCAACCCUUGAUCUUAGUUGCCAGCAUUCAGUUGGGCACUCUAAGGUGACUGCCGGUGACAAACCGGAGGAAGGUGGGGAUGACGUCAAAUCAUCAUGCCCCUUAUGACCUGGGCUACACACGUGCUACAAUGGGCAGAACAAAGGGCAGCGAAGCCGCGAGGCUAAGCCAAUCCCACAAAUCUGUUCUCAGUUCGGAUCGCAGUCUGCAACUCGACUGCGUGAAGCUGGAAUCGCUAGUAAUCGCGGAUCAGCAUGCCGCGGUGAAUACGUUCCCGGGCCUUGUACACACCGCCCGUCACACCACGAGAGUUUGUAACACCCGAAGUCGGUGAGGUAACCUUUGGAGCCAGCCGCCGA
rnacentral:rRNA from 1 species